rnacentral:rRNA from 1 species
UACGGGGGGAGCAAGCGUUGUUCGGAUUUACUGGGCGUAAAGGGCGCGUAGGCGGCGCAACAAGUCACUUGUGAAAUCUCCGGGCUUAACCCGGAGCGGCCAAGUGAUACUGUCGUGCUAGAGUGCGGAAGGGGCUACUGGAAUUCUCGGUGUAGCGGUGAAAUGCGUAGAUAUCGAGAGGAACACCUGCGGCGAAGGCGGGUUGCUGGGCUGACACUGACGCUGAAGCGCGAAAGCUAGGGGAGCGAACGGG